rnacentral:rRNA from 1 species
CCCUUAGAUGUUCUGGGCCGCACACGCGCUACACUGAAGGAGGCAGCGUGUACUCCUGGAUCGAAAGAUUUGGGUAACCCGCGAAUCUCCUUCGUGCUAGGGAUUGAGGUUUGCAAUCAUCCUUCAUGAACGAGGAAUUCCCAGUAAGUGCAAGUCAUAAGCUUGCGCUGACUACGUCCCUGCCCUUUGUACACACCGCCCGUCGCUACUACCGAUUGAAUGAUUUAGUGAGGACUUCGGACUGGGACCGAUGCGGCUUUCGGGCUGCGUCGGUAUUCUGGAAAGAUGUCCAAACUGUAUCAUUUAGAGGAAGUAAAAGUCGUAACA